GUGUAAGCACAGCAAUGUGUUCAGCGGACCGGUACUAAUAGUCCGAGGGCUUGAUUAU
rnacentral:rRNA from 1 species